CUUGACCGAGCCGAGCAGCAGCGGCGGGACGUCGGCCGGACGCUGCCCGUACGUGGCGAGGAUCGCCUCCGCCUC
rnacentral:antisense_RNA from 1 species